AUUGAACGCUGGCGGCGUGCUUAACACAUGCAAGUCGAUCGGUAACGCGGGGGCAACCCUGGCGACGAGAGGCGGACGGGUGAGGAACGCUUGGGAAUCUGCCUAUCAGCGGGGGACAACACGGGGAAACCCGCGCUAAUACCGCAUACUCUCUACGGAGGAACGCCGGGGACCGAAAGGCCUCGCACCGACAGAUGAGCCCAAGCCGGACUAGCUAGUUGGCGGGGUAGCGGCCCAACAAGGCGACGAUCCGUAGCUGGUCUGAGGGGACGAGCGGCCACACUGGGACUGAGACACGGCCCAGACUCCUACGGGAGGCAGCAGUGGGGAAUAUUGGACAAUGGGGGAAACUCUGAUCCAGCGACGCCGCGUGGGUGAAGAAGGCCUGCGGGUUGUAAAGCCCUUUCGGUAGGGACGAAAGCUCUCGACCUAACACGUCGGGAGGUUGACUUAACCUACAAAAGAAGCACCGGCUAACUCUGUGCCAGCAGCCGCCGUAACAC
rnacentral:rRNA from 1 species